UUAUUUAUUUUAUUAUAUUUAUUUUUUGUUUAUUUAAUUAUUUAAUAAAAAUAAUUUUAUUGAAUUUUGUCUUAGUAUAUUUUGUAGAAUUGAUUUUUUAAAUUAUAGUUUAUUGGUAAUGUAAUUGUUUUAUGAAAUAUUAUUUUAAAUUUUUAAAAGUAUAUUUUAUUUAUUGUACCUUUUGKAUCAGGGUUUAUCMAAAUUUUAGUAUUUAAUUUACUUGGGUCGAUUUGGGUUGAUUUAUAAAUAAUUUAUAGUUAA
rnacentral:rRNA from 1 species